AUUGUAGAACAAUAGAUGUUACGUAGAAUACGGAAACGUUACCGGAAUCGAUAAUGGUGCCGGCACCGGUGGAAGGAUUGAAAGCAAGGGCAUUUGGUGGGAUAUCAACAAUCUUUC